GUGUUGUAUGAAAGGAGAGAAGGUUAAGGUUAGCACUCCCCUUGACAAGGAUGGAAGAGGCCCUCGGGCCUAACAACACACAGAUGGUUAAGGGAUUGCCACCAACUUCGGGACAUCAAACCAUUCAUUGU
ensembl:snRNA